rnacentral:lncRNA from 1 species
CACGCCUUUAAUCCCAGCAACUUGGGAGGCAGAGGCAGGUGAAUUUCUGAGUUCGAGGCCAGCCUGGUCUACAAAGUGAGUUCCAGAACAGUCAGAGCUAUACAGAGAAACCUUGUCUUGGGAAAAAAAAAAGUAAGCCUUACUUUUAAAUAAAAAUGCAAGCUGGAUGGUAGUGGUACACACCUCCCAAAACUCAGGAGGCAGAGGCCGAUCUCUGUGAUUUCAAGCUCAGCCUGGCCUAGAGCAAGUUCCAGGAUAGCCAGGGCUACACAGAGAAACCCUGUCUGGAAAAACAAACAAAUAAGCAAGCAAGCAUUGCAUUCCGUUGGGAGUGAGAAGCAGGUGCUGUGGCUGGCCACUUCCCCCAAAGUUCAUUCCAACCAGGUAGUGAGAAAUGAAGGCUGGGAAAUGGCGUCUGAGAAGUCCAAGGACUGAGGGGAGGGACACCAGAUAGAGAGUCAAACUCUGACUCCUCAAGCACAGAAGAAAGACGAAUGCAGGUCACCAGUUGCUACCUAGACUACUUCACUGCCACCAGAACCAAGCCAAACUGCAGACAACUUAGGUAAAAGGCAGCUCCAACAAUCCUCAAGUUCUAAGAACACAGUCACUUGAAAGGACAUGGGUCAGCUUUGUGACACUCCACAGUGUCACAAAGCACACAAAGCACACCUGUGCUUUUCUGCGACUCCAUUUCUAAAAUCCUAACCACGGCUAAAAAAAAAAAAAGGCUCAACUACUGAGUUGCUUGACUUAGGAAUAUUUAAAAUAGUGAAAUAUAAAAACAAGGGCUAGUGAAAUGGCUCAGUGGGUAAGAGAACACUGACUGCUCUUCCAAAGGUCCUGAGUUCAAAUCCCUGCAACCACAUGGUAGCUCACAACCACUCAUAAUGAGACCUGACACCCUCUUGUAGUGCAUCUGAAGUCAGCUACAGUGUACUCAUGUAUAAUAAUAAAUCUGUUAAAAUAAAUAAAAAUUAAAAAGGGUUGUUGAGAUCACUCAGGGGUAAAGGUGUUUGACUUGCAACCCUAGUGGCCUAUAAAUAUGCUCCCUGGGACCCAUAAGCAGAUGGAGGAAAGAGCUGACUUCAAAUACGUGUCCUUUGACCUCCAUAUGCAUACCAUGGUAUGCACAUACACAUAUACAAACUAAAUACCAUGACCAAAAAUUCAGAGAAAAGAAAAUUAAAGAUGUCAGUAACAAUAUAAGAAACUCGCCAGGGCUAUACAGAGAAACCCUGUCUCGAAAAACCAAAAAAAAAAAAAAACCAACCAAUAUAAGAAACUCUUUCAGGGCUGGAGAGAUGGCUCAGGGGUUAAGAGCACUGACUGCUCUUCCAGAGGUCCUGAGUUCAAUUCCUAGCAGCCACAUGGUGGCCCACAACCAUCUGUAAGGGGAUCCGAUGCCCUCUUCUGGGGUGUCUGAAGACAGCAACAGGACAGUGUACUAAGACACAUAAAAUAAAUAAAUUUAAAACAAACAAACAACACUCUCUUUCACAAGAGUUAAUUGUGGAUUGUGGCAGAACCAGAUUAUACGAGGCUAAGGAGAAAAUAACUACUUAACAUAUGCCAUGUAGUGGACACCCUAACAACUGCUUAGCACACCCUGGUAGGUAUUUUAAUCUCUCCGACACUGUUAGGUGGGUAUCAGUCUCCGUGUCAGCAUACAGCUUAGGUAAUGUACAAUGAUACAAGCAGACAUGUAAGUGGCAGAGGACUCUCAUUUAACUCACUGUGCUAUCACACAACACCAGGCCCAGCAAGAGGGCUUCCCACCAAUCAAUUCCACAUGCCUCGAACACACCAACUACAUCAUCGGAGACACCGUCUUCAAUAAACACUUUAGCUGUCUAACUAAAGUUCUGUGGGGAUAGAAAGAAGGCUCAGUUAAUCUUCCAGGGCACCUGGGUUGGGCUGGUGGCAGCUCCAGUGGCAGCUCACAAGGAUCUGGGAUCACAGGCGUGUGCCACUAGGUCUGGCCCAUAAUUAGAAUUCUACAGACUUCCCAUACUGACAAAAACCAUCCUGUAGGUCCACCACCCUUGCACUGUGCUCUGUAUCCCCGACCACUCCACCCCACCCCCAAAUCAGGCCCAGUUUUCUCUAAUGCUCGUGUGUAAAGAGGAGAGCACUAGAUGAGAGAGGGAAGAAGGGUCAAAAGGAAACACGAAGCUUUAAAACCAUGGGCUCCUGAGAAUGUUCAGACAAGGCAACGACAGAAGCCUGGGAAAAUACGAGUUCCAGAACUGUGACAUGGCUUCAGGUUAUUUCCAUUAUGUUAAACUCACAGCUCUGGAUUCUCUGCAUCAGAACUAAAGCUGUGUGUCUUACAGUAUGUGGAAAUCCUCCCGUGAUUUGUUGUAUUAUACAACUAUGGGACAGGUAAGAAAUCACCCCCCUGUCCCAGUAUUGACUAGCCUUGCCACCAGGCUACCACUACUCUGUGAACAGGGCCUGGUACCACACAGCUAACAACACCCCAAUAUGAGGCUGAGGCAGGAGGAUCACAACUUCAAGCUACACAGAGAGUUGGAGGCCAGCCUGAACUACACAGUGGACCUGUCUUUAAAAAAAAAAAAAAAUUAUGUUUUAGCCGGGCUUAACCGGCAUGGCAGUGCACACCUGCCAACGGCAGCACUAGGGAGUCUAAGAGAAUCAAGGUCAGCCUCGACUGAGUCGUGGGUUUGGACUAUCUAAGGCUGCAGGAGACCCCAGACUCCAGGAUUCAGAUUAAAACCAAAACAAUACCGUUAUUACACUGUGAAACCUUGGCAGUGUGGCCCACGCCUAUAUCUCUGAACUACGGAGUCUGAAUCGGGAAGAUCGGUGUUGAAGGUGGGUCUUGUCUACAUAGGGAAAUCCUAGCCAGUUAAGGCUGCAUUAAACCCUCUUUUGGAUACAUUUUUGACAACCCAAAGUCAAGUCACAAAUCUAAAACUGAACACACACACACACUCACACUCACUCUCUCACUCUCACUCUCUCUCUCUCUCUCUCUCUCUCUCUCUCUCUGUCACACACACACACACACACACACACACACACACACACACACACACACAGAGAAGUUGGAAAGAUGGCUACGGGGUUAAGAAUACCUGCUAUUCCUGAGGACCAGAGUUAAGUUCUCAGCAACCCCAUCAUCAGGCAGCUACCAAUGGAGUGUAACUCUGGGUCUAAGGACACAACGCCCUCUUCUGGAGUCGGAUGCUAGUAGGUCCACGCAGCCUUAUUCAGCCGACCUAUACAAGCCUUGACUGAGGGAGCAGGACUCCGCAGGCCUCGGGAGGAUGGAACAGGACCGGGUCAGCUAAUAGAGGAGUGAACGGAGCUGGGGUGGCUGGGAGAGCCUGCGCACCGAUCCGCCCAGCACGCCGUGGGCCCCGGGUUCAGGGUCCCCGGUCCCGGCCCAUGCGCCCGCGAUUACGACCCCGUCUCCUACUCACCGCCCCGCAGACUGGCGGCUCGAGCCCGCGGACGCCCGCGGCCUGGCCCUGUUCACUCGCGGCGGCGCGCGGCGGGCCCCGGGCUGCCCCGCACCAUCCUCUCCGCCGCUCCGGAGACAGCGAGCGGCUCCUCGGGGCCGAAGCGACGACCCGAAGCCAGGCCAGAGCGCGCCAACGGGACGCCGGCUCCGCGCGCUGCGAACGCCGGGCUUUCCGGGUGAAGGCAGAAAACCACGUCACCACUAACGCCGCCGUGACCUCUGACCCCGCCCGCGCGCGACGGCGGCGCGGAAGGGACAGAAUUGCUCCGGGGCGAGCGGCGGGUGGGGUCGGGGUUAGGAGGAGAAGCAGACUGUCUUCGUUUUGCAAAUGGGAAAAGCAUACACGGAGCUGCCUGAAAUUUAUCACUCGCAUUCGCGAACUGC